rnacentral:lncRNA from 1 species
UAAUAUAUUACUAAGUGUUCAAAUUAUACUAUUAUGCUAGAUAGCUAGUAUUAGAUUUUGUGGUAUGUAUCAUUAUUGAUUAUUUACUAUUUUCAAUUUUUAUAUUAUUUAAGUUGGUGUGGACGUAAAAGAAUUCUUACUAAGCUAUUAUUUCAAAGUCAGAGACGUAGGAUGCUUGAUACCUAGCUACGGUUUGGGAUCAUAGGUGAGAGAAUGGAUGCUAGAGCAUCACUGAUACUAAUCAGAUGGCUGAAUUUUGUAAUUGGAUAAAUUUUAUUAUUUGUUAAUGAUGGAAUCAUUUUGUUGUGAAUUAAGAUCAUUAUUGUCCAAUAAUAUUAAAAUUAUAUUUAAAUAUAUAAGUUUUGCAUAUUCUCUCAAAUCUUGUCCUGUGUGGGCUAUAUCAUGUGCCCAACGUUAUAUGUCUUAAAAAUAUAUUACCAGUCCGACCCUAUCAUCAAAAUCUCUCAACCACUGGUUUGCUGCAUGACAUGAUGGGAUUGGUGUGAUCAGAUUGAUGUUUUAUAAUACAAAAAGAAAAAUAUAUUUGGUCCAUCUCAACUUGCAAUGAGUAGUAUCUACCAUCCAUUUCAUUUUUAAUUGGAUAGUGAUUCAACAUCUCUUCUACCACAUGCCAUAACCAUAAUUGAUCAUCAAGAUAACAACCUUUUGAACAAAUUGUGAUGGAGAUCCAAUGAGAAAAAAAGACAGGAUGUGCCAUAUAAAUUAAUGUCCCAACAAACCCUCGAGAAAGAGCAUUAAUAUCACACUUCAAAUAUUUAGAUGAAAAAUUGGAACUAUCAUGUUCCACUUCUUUGGGAAUAAUUAUAUGAUCCUCGGAGCCAAACUAUAUCACCAUCAAAAUAAAGUCAUAUUUACAGCUUUAAUCAAGACUGACCUGCCGAUGAACACUCCUAAUUCCUUGGGUUAUAUCCUCUAUUGAAACAAAGGAGAAAAAUUGUAGUGACACCUCCUCAACUUUGAACAUUUUUUAGAAACACCAUCUCAA